AAAAAUCAGAAAUGGCAACUGGUUCUUCUUCUCGUCCUCCACAGAAAACCUACGAUCUCGAAAUCACCAUCGUCUCCGCCAAGCAUCUGAAAAAUGUCAAUUGGCAUCACGGCGAUCUCAAGCCCUAUGUUAUCUUUUGGGUCGACCCGGAUCAACGACGCGCCACACAAGCUGAUGAUUCCGGCAAUACCCGACCCGUUUGGAACGAACGAUUCGUCCUCCAUCUUCCCCAAUCUCAAUCUCCUCCUCACGAUGCUGUUCUUACUCUUGAGGUCUUCCAUUCAAAACCUUCGGAAACUCCCAAACCUUUAGUCGGUACACUUAGGGUUCCGUUGAAGGAACUGGUUAACGUCGACGAUUUCAACAAAAUCAGAACUUUUGAGCUCCGGCGACCUUCCGGUCGGCCUCAUGGUAAGAUCCGACUCAAGCUUGCUAUUCGUGAAUUAUCUCCACCCCUCGAUUACCAAAUACCCCCUCCUUGUAGUUAUUAUUACUCUACUGCCCCCCCUCCUCCUCCCCCUUCCUACAGAGCAUUUCCUUCUUCCCCAUACCCCUCACACCCUCAUCCUCCUCCGUCGCCUGUAGUUGCACCGCCGCCACCUGCUUCUCCAUCACCACCACCUCCUCCUCCGCAGCAACAUUCUUUUCCUUACAGUGGAUUCGCUGAUCCUUACUCUAGUUACUUCCCUGGGUAUUACUCUCAACCUCCCCCUCCUCCACGACCAUUUGUUGAGCGGCAAUCUAGCUAUAACAGUUUGGGCUCGAGGCCAAGCGCCCCUGUUGAUUAUUACCCUCCUUAUGAUCAGAAGCGUAGUGGGAAAAUGGGGACGGGGUUAGGCACCGGAUUGGCGGUUGGAGCAGUGGCUGGUACAUUGGGAGGAUUGACAUUAGGGGAAGGAUUGAAGUAUGAAGAAGCCAAGAUUGCAGAGAGAGUUGAAAACAACAUAGCAACCAGAGAUGAUUACAGCAAUUACAGUGAAUAUUGAUGCUGAUGCUUCUCACUGGAUGAAGUUCUCUAUACUAAUGGGUAAUCAAUCUUGCGCUGUAUUUUGUAUAUAUAAAGCUCGUUCAUUUUCAAUGGAUUCCUCCUCUUAAUGAUAUGAUGAAUUAUGUCAGUUCAGCUGUUUUUGAGUUUCUUCUAUGAAGGAUUCUACUGGUAGACUGAUAUAUGUAAUUCUACUUCUAUCUGGUUGUUUCAUGAUGUAGCGUGGUAUGUUCGAUGAAUGUAUUGUUUGGAUAGAUUAUUAUAUCGUUUUUAACCUAACUCGUAAUAUCAUGGAUGCAUUUAUCUA
rnacentral:misc_RNA from 1 species